CACGAACUGCGUCUCUGCCAUAACAAUGACGGCAAGAAGUUGUAGUUAAAAGAGUAACGUCGUCGUUUUGCAGAUCAGUUGUAGUAAAGCCUCCAUCCAACGCACUCGAAUAUGGAAGAUGAACACUGUUCCAGCUACAGGGUUGCAAAAUCCCAACCAAGGGGUGUGCACAAUUCCAAAGUGAAGAAGGUGACCAUAGACAAGGCCACAUCUACAGCAAAAGACGAACCUGCCGGGCAACAAGGAAAGAGUGUGGAGGAAAAAAUAAAUGACUUCAUUGAUCAAGAAAAGGCUGCAGCUGUUUCUGACCUUCAGACUCGAGUUCUGACCAUGAAGCUCCACAUCUUGCAAGAAGAACUUGAUCUGCUUUCAAGUGAUUACCGCAAGAAGG